rnacentral:lncRNA from 1 species
AGUCUCUUCAGAGACUGGACUGUGAAGAGAAUAUUAUUUAAAACAAAAUCUUGUGAAAAGUAAUGUUCCACAAUGCACAGGCAAGACUAACCGUUAUCUUAAGAGGAGCGACACCAUAUCUCAUUACAAAGUUCAGUACCAUCCACACGUCAGCAUAACAUCUGCCUUUAUGGUUUUCGAAAGAGAAGCAGUCUUGGAAUUAUAUGGACAGAGAAAGUGUCCCAUCAUUCAGACCGUGCUUCGGUUAUACCAUGGAGAUUACAAAAAUACAACCUACAAAAAUGUACUCUACAUCAGCUACAGCUACAUUUAACUAUAGUCUGCAGAGAAAUUAAUGUCAAGUGUGGCAACAGGCGUCUUCCACAGGAAUGCGAUAGAGCCACCUAUUCAGAUAUCCUUAGAAUCCAACUGCUUUGUGGAGUUGUAGUUUCUGAUUCCAGCUGUCCUUUAACCAGAGUUUUGGUGCCCGUCGCAUAUAGCAGAUGA